UCAUCUUCUCUUGUUUUUAAGAUAUCAUAAUUUUUAACACGAAUACAAUUUUUAAGGAAUAAUUACAAAAAUAUUCAAUGAAAAGCCGCCUUUUGAAAGGGCGGCAGUUUUAUCAAAUUUGAUUAUUUGGAUUUGAAUAAUACCAAGAAACGUUUCGUUUAAAUUUCAAUAUAAGUAGUAAAUAUGUUAUGUAGAAAAAUAAUCAAAUAUGAAAUUUAAUUCAAAAUAUUAGAUAAUUAGGAUGAUCACUUUUGUAUUGAUUUCUAUUUGUAAUUUUAUUUCUGUUUACUUCUUUGACUUCUAUUAUUCGCGUAUAUAAUUUAAGGUUAGAAAUUAGUAUUAGGUUAAAUAUUUAAAUAUAAGUCAGCUAUGGAGAAACGAUAGGAGAAGAAUAUGGAAAGCAGAUCCUCUUUCACAUUGAAAACGGAAAACUACCUUUUCAAAAAUGGCCAGUUUACCCUGCAAAGUAUUGAAAUAUUAAUUCAACACCACUGACUUAAAAUGAUAAAUCGCAAGAAGACUUGGUACGGCACAUUGUAUUGGCCAAUUAUCUCUGGGUGAGAUAGAAAAGAAAUUUGAUAAAACAGCAGAAUCUCUUCUUGUCGAAUUUGGAAUUGAUUUAAAUAAAACCAAUUGACCCAAACGGAAAGAAAAACAAUGGGGAAAAAGGUGAUGAAAGGCCACGGAGAAUAAUAGUCUUCCAUUCAAAAGGACACAAAUCAAUAAGUAUUUUUAUAAUGGCUGUGAUUAUGUUUAUUUAUUCAUCUAAAAUUUAUUAAAACAUAUCAAUGAUUGAAAAAAAUGAAGAAGAAAUUUAUGAUUUUGAAGAAUUGAUGUAUUAUUGAGAUACUAUCAUCUAUAUAAUUCAAGCAACUCAUUAUUGACUAUAUUCAAAAAUGAUCCUAGUUGAGGCAGAAGAAGUUCUACAAACGGAAAGCAAAUCGAAAAGUCAGAUUUGGUGCUAAGAAAGAUGAUGCUGGGUGUGAUGGACGUAAAGGAUAAAGUAAUUAUUUACUAUGAAUUGCUGCUGCCGUUCAAAUGAUCGAUUAAGAACUUCACUAUCAGCAAGUGGAAAAAUUGUGCCAAGCAAUCGAAAUUGAAAAACAUAUUGAAUUACUAUUGAUGAAUUGACAAAACCACAAUAGUUGUAAUUUCGAAGACGUUAAAAAGAAAGUUGACAGAAAGAGUAUUGAUAGAGUAGAAGCACAACUAUUAAGAAUCAAGCUUUAUAUAAACGCAGAAGCUGGUUUCUUAAUAAUUGGACUUGUAUUUUAUUUUUCAUCCACAUACGCCACCAAGCGCAGCAUUUAUACAAUACGUUGCAGGGUCUGGAAAUUGUUUAUCUACAAGCUGAGAGGAAAGAAAUAAAUGAAUACCACCGAAUUCGAUUGGUUUCAUAAAAGAUCAAAACGAGAGUUCGUUUUCACGUUAUCUAAGAGAUUUUUUCCCUACGUUUUUUCCAAACGCUUUACUAUGUUUUACAUUGUUCACUUUACAUUGUAUUUGUUAAUUAUUUUUAAGAAAACAUUCGACGAAGUUUUACUUUUCUCUUGUAAAUUUACUAUUGUAUCAGUUCUUAUAUGUAUUAAUUAUAUGUUAGGUAUAUUACUAUUAUAUCUCUAUGUGUGUAAAACAAAUCAAAUUAUAUGUCUAUUAUGUCUCUAUAUUAUAUAUAUCUUGAUGGACAUUGACGUACGAAACAAUAUAUA